rnacentral:tRNA from 1 species
AGCGUAGUCAAAUUAUCGCGUCCGAUUGAAAAUUGGGAAAGUCGCAGGUUCGAAUCCUGCC